rnacentral:rRNA from 1 species
GCCAGGCAGCCGCGGUAAUUCCAGCUCCAAUAGCGUAUACUAAAGUUGUUGCGGUUAAAAAGCUCGUAGUUGGAUCUUGGAAUGUGUUCAAGCGGGUCAGCUUCUGGCUGUGCGCUGCUUGACGUGUUCUUCUAUUUGGUUUUGGUGCGGUGCGCUUAACUGCGUGUCGCUCCCGGCCGAAACGUUUACCUUGAAAAAAUUAGAGUGUUCAAAGCAGACCUGUUUGAGUCUGAAUAUUCGUGCAUGGAAUAAUGAAAUAUGAAUUCGGUUCUAUUUUGUUGGUUUUCGGAACUCGAGUUAAUGAUCAAGAGGGACAGACGGGGGCAUUCGUACUCUGCCGUUAGAGGUGAAAUUCUUGGAUCGGCGGAAGACGCGCAACUGCGAAAGCAUUUGCCAAGAAUGUUUUCUUUAAUCAAGAACGAUAGUCGGAGGUUCGAAGACGAUCAGAUACCGUCCUAGUUUCGACUGUAAACUAUGCCAGCUAACGAUCAGACAGAGUUCUCUACGACUUGUCUGGCAGUUUCCGGGAAACCAAAGCGUUUGGGUUCCGGGGGAAGUAUGGUUGCAAAGCUGAAACUUAAAGGAAUUGACGGAAGGGCACCACCAGGAGUGGAGCCUGCGGCUUAAUUUGACUCAACACGGGGAAACUCACCCGGCCCGGACACAGUGAGGAUUGACAGAUUGAGAGUUCUUUCUUGAUUCUGUGGGUGGUGGUGCAUGGCCGUUCUUAGUUGGUGGAGCGAUUUGUCUGGUUAAUUCCGAUAACGAACGAGACUCUGGCAUGUUAAAUAGUCGCGGAAGUGCGUAUGCACUUGCCGAAUUGACUUCUUAGAGGGACUAGUGAUUUUAAUUCACACGAGAUUGAGCAAUAACAGGUCUGUGA